CCUCCGCGGCGGGUGCGCGCGCUCGGCGGGGGAAGCGGGUCACGGGGGGCUGGCCGCCGGCACAGAUGGGAUGUGCAGUUAGGCGCGGCACCCCUCUGCGUUUCUUUUCGCUGCUCCCGGGACAAGAGGUUUUGGAGGGGUCUGAGAAGACGGCGGAGAGGCCAGGGAUGGGACUUGAAAUACAGUGAGUUCCCAGGGAGUUACUUCAUAUGUAUGUGAAAACCAGACUAUGAAUAAGGAAGGCUGAAGAAGAACUGAUGCCUUUGAAUUAUGGCAUUGGUGAAGAAUAUUGAAUGUACGAGAAGAAUGAACAAGUCUGUCUUGGAAGAAGUACAGCCAGAAUUCUCCUUGGAAGCGAGGAUGUACUGAGGAAGUCAGCACAACUUGACCAAGGCAAAGUCAUAGAAGCUUCAUAUAUACAUCCGAACUCCUUGAAGGACUGAAUUACUGGGCUGAGGAUUGGGGAACAUGGCCUCAGGGGACAUCUUGCUCAACUGGCAUAACACAGUUUGUAAAGAAAAUGUUUUACAUCUUACUUUGGUAAGUAGCAUCUGGGGUCUUAAAAGCUUGCGAGCAGCCAUCUAAGAUACUUCACCCUGUCUGGAGCAAGGGUGAAUGAAGAAAACCAAAGACACAAAGGAAAGAUUAAUCCAAAGAACUAGUGGACCACAACCACCACAGACUCCACCAGACUGAGUCCAACACAAUUAGAUGGUACCCAGCUACCACCACUGACUGCUUUGACAGGAAUCACAAUAGAGGGUCCUGGACAGAGCUAGAAAAAAAAUAUAGGACAAAAUUCUUACUCACACACACACAAAAAAAAAACCA